UCAACAGGAAGAAUAUUUGGCGCGGAAACGUCUGUUGUGUUGAGCUGUGUACCAAGAGAGAGAUGGAGGUUGUCAAUAAAUAGCAAUGGCUCCGGCUUCUAACACAUAGAAGUGAGUCUGAAUGGAAAGUUACUGUUGACAAACAAGAAUGUUAGCGAGCUAAACAAGAGGGAACAUGCAAAUACGGCUUUGCCAGCAAGCUCAUGCUGUCAGCUAACGUUACAAUAGCUCUCACUAACAACAAAGAAACUAUUAGCCAGUUAACGUUAGCUAGCUUUUCCAGAAUUACUAGAUUGAGUUACAUUUACACUGAAUGAUCGUAAUAUGAAUAAUUACCCACAGUUAGCUGGCUAGCUACUCUGUGAUGAUAACAUUUUAGAAAGUGGUCUGUCGCUAGCGAAAUUUAGCAACGCGGGUCUGUUUACAUACAUUAGCGUUGCUCCUAUUGUAUUGGGUUACACCGAAACAGGAAGUCAGAAGUUCUAUUUUAACUUUUACAUUUUUUGAAGCCCUCGAUUUUCAUUGAGUUGUCGCCAACCAUUUUCUCUAAGGCAUCGCACCUGGCAUUGAUGAGCCUGGAAGGAGUGGCGAUAACAUCAUUAUUGGCAGUGGCAUCUGGGCCCAGUUCCAAACAUGCCUUUCUUGGUAGCUGGAGGUUUGCUUGGGGUUAUAGGCAAAGAAGGAAAAUCCUCGUCUGACACGACAAGUGUCAUAUACUCUGUCAGACCAGUAUAGUUGUGGCAGUUGUCAAUCAAAGCAUUUGCCUCCUAUGUAACGACAUUGGAGGAUGCCUGAGCAUUGCUAGCUGAGUAGGUAGCCAUAAGAUUUCUCUUUCUGUCAGUCAGCGUGCUGACAUUUUGGAAAAUAUCAUCUUAAAUCAUCAAUAACCUGGUAUUUUUAGCAAGCAAAGUAUUAGAUUGUUAGUUCAAAAUAAGACACUUUUCACUAUCUUUCAAAAGUUGGUAUGCAGAGCUCUGUCGGAAGCGGGCGUUCAAGCUGCUAUCUUGGAGCCUCCCCAACUUCCCUUUCAAUUUACUGUGUCAGUUGACAUGACGGUUGGUCAUUAUGACAGGGUGAAUUUGAGACAAUAUCUAAACAAAUGUAUUAUUAAACAGACUUUCCAAACUUCCUCUGCUUACAACAGAUCCAUGUUUGGAAAGUCUCUUUUAAUAUACUGAACAAAAAUAUAAACGCAACAAUUUUACUGAGUUACAGUUCAUAUCAGGAAAUCAGUUAAUUGAAAUAAAUAAAUUAGGCCCUAAUCUGGAUUUCACAUGACUGGGCAGGGGUGUAGGUCUGGGAGGGCAUAGGCCCACCCACUUGGGAUCCAGAAGCCCCAUAUGCUACCCACCACUGCAACCUGUACGCUCUCGUUGGCUGGCCCUCGCUUCAUACUCGUCGCCAAACCCACUGGCUCCAGGUCAUCUACAAGACCCUUCUAGGAGAUGACUGGUCUGGCAGCUCAACAGAGCCAAGGGAGAGAAGGUCAAAUACGAGGUGAAAGUCGUGUGUGUGCGUGUUCGUUGUCCAAGCCCUGUUCCGACAGGUGGUGGAUUUGACCAGUGUGUAUGAAGAGGUGGACGAGGUACUCUCGGAUGGUGAGAGAGGCAGGACGGUGACUGGAUCGUUGAUGAUGUUUUCUUGAAGAUCACUCCGUGACACACACAAUGCAGUGGUUCAGCAGGAGACGAUGCGCUGUCUGCCGCUGACUUCCCACUCGCCAUCUCUCACCGCUGUCAUCAAAUGGACUCAUGCUAGCAACAAGUUCUGACUGAGCUCUAUUGUCAUGAAACGCCAUACAACCGCAGAGUUUCUCUCGUUCUCGUACAAACUUAUAACGAGGAGCGCCCACAAUGUGUUUUGUGCGGGGGAAGUGCUUACUAAUGAGUCUCUCAUAACGAACAAAUGAGUAAAAGGACAAGUUCUGACCAAACAUCCACAGCAUGAUGGUAAACCCAGAGACCGGAAGGUUGCAAGUUCAAACCCUCAAGCUGACAAGGUCCAAAUCUGUCGUUCUGCCCCUGAACAGGCAGUUAACCCACUGUUCCUAGGCCGUCAUUGAAAAUAAGAAUUUGUUCUUAACUGACUUGCCUAGUUAAAUAAGAGUUUAAAAAAAAAGAAAAA